rnacentral:rRNA from 1 species
CAGCUGUAAACUAUGUGCGUUAGGUGUGUCAGUGACCACGUGUCACUGAGGUGCCGAAGGGAAACCGUGAAACGCACCGCCUGGGGGAGUACGGUCGCAAGGCUGAAACUUAAAGGAAUUGGCGGGGGGAGCACCACAACGGGUGGAGCCUGCGGUUUAAUCGGACUCAACGCCGGGAAUCUCACCGGAUAAGACAGCUGAAUGAUAGUCGGGAUGAAGACUCUACUUGACUAGCUGAGAGGAGGUGCAUGGCGUAGUCGUGU